rnacentral:misc_RNA from 1 species
GAUGAAGAACGCAGCGAAAUGCGAUAAGUAAUGUGAAUUGCAGAAUUCAGUGAAUCAUCGAAUCUUUGAACGCACAUUGCGCCCGCCAGUAUUCUGGCGGGCAUGCCUGUCUGAGCGUCAUUUCAACCCUCAUGCCCCUAGGGCGUGGUGUUGGGGAUCGGCCAAAGCCCGCGAGGGACGACCGGCCCCUAAAUCUAGUGGCGGACCCGUCGUGGCCUCCUCUGCGAAGUAGUGAUAUUCCGCAUCGGAGAGCGAUGAGCCCCUGCCGUUAACCCCCCAACUUUCCAAGGUUGACCUCAGAUCAGGUAGGAAUACCCGCUGAACUUAAGCAUAUCAAUAAGCGGAGGA